GGGACUGUAGUUAAAAUUAACAUUUAAUUUGCAAUUAAAAGAUACUACCCCAUUAGUCUGUCUCA
rnacentral:tRNA from 1 species